rnacentral:rRNA from 1 species
UACAGGGGGGGCAAGCGUUGUUCGGAAUUACUGGGCGUAAAGGGUUCGUAGGUGGCCAACUAAGUCAGACGUGAAAUCCCUCAGCUUAACUGGGGAACUGCGUCUGAUACUGGAUGGCUUGAGUGUAGGAGAGGAAUGCGGAAUUCCAGGUGUAGCGGUGAAAUGCGUAGAUAUCUGGAGGAACACCGGUGGCGAAGGCGACAUCCUGGACCGGCAUUGACGCUGAGGCGCGAAAGCCAGGGGAGCAAACGGG